UCCCACAUGCCACAACAAAGAUCCCGCAUGCUGCAACUAAGACCUGGCACAGACAAGUAAAUAAAUAUUGUUAAAAAAUAACCAUUUUAACCAUUUAAAAGUGUACAAUUCAGUGGCAUUAAGUACAUUCACAAUGAUAUGUAACCAUCACCACUGCCUAUUUCCAGAAAUUUUCCAUCAUCGGAAACAAACUCUGAACCCAUUAAAUAAUAAUUUCCUACUCCCCCCGCCCCCAGCUCCUGGUUACCUCCUGUGAGCCUGUUCUAAAGGGAUAAGUUACUACACACCUUUGAGAAUAUAUUUGCCAAAUCCCAGAUAUUCUCAGAUCCCAGGUUGAGAAAAAAAUGGUCUAAGACUAUAAAUUUAACAUUGGGAACUUACACCAGGGAAGUGCUAUUGAUUACCUUUGUACUCUGUGCCCAUGACCAGUUCCUUUCAAAGUUGACAUGUGCUGCCAAUAUUCAUAUUUUAGGAAACUGCAACUUGGCUUUUCUCCUAUUCUCCAGAAGCCAUGCUAAUUCCCAAUUUUACUUUUACAGUCUCCAGCAAAACAAACAAACACAAACAUGCUGCAUGGAAUUCCUGGUAUAGGCUAGUAGAUAUUGCUAAGAAGAGCAAGACCAAAGUUUACUGCCUUUUAGCCUGAGUGAAUAUGACGUGGAGCAGAGCUGUGAUCAACAUAGAGUGUGGAGUAGUCCUCACUGCCCGAUGGGUGCCACCACAACCUACCACCACAGCACUGGGGAAAGGCACCAGAGCCUGGGGGCCAACGACUGAAUGAAUGACAGUGCCCGGCAUUCCUCCUUCAUCCACGUGCUUCCUACUGCCU